UACUCCUACGGGAGGCAGCAGUGGGGAAUAUUGGACAAUGGACCGAGAGUCUGAUCCAGCAAUUCUGUGUGCACGAUGAAGUUUUUCGGAAUGUAAAGUGCUUUCAGUUGGGAAGAAACAAAUGACGGUACCAACAGAAGAAGUGACGGCUAAAUACGUGCCAGCAGCCGCGGUAAUACGUAUGUCACGAGCGUUAUCCGGAUUUAUUGGGCGUAAAGCGCGUCUAGGUGGUUAUGUAAGUCUGAUGUGAAAAUGCAGGGCUCAACUCUGUAUUGCGUUGGAAACUGUAUAACUAGAGUACUGGAGAGGUAAGCGGAACUACAAGUGUAGAGGUGAAAUUCGUAGAUAUUUGUAGGAAUGCCGAUGGGGAAGCCAGCUUACUGGACAGAUACUGACGCUGAAGCGCGAAAGCGUGGGUAGCAAACAGGAUUAGAUACCCUGGUAGUCCACGCCGUAAACGAUGAUUACUAGGUGUUGGGGGUCGAACCUCAGCGCCCAAGCAAACACGAUAAGUAAUCCGCCUGGGGAGUACGUACGCAAGUAUGAAACUCAAAGGAAUUGACGGA
rnacentral:rRNA from 1 species